AUGCGGUGCGGCCGCGGGGCAGGGCCGGCCCCAUCCCGGCAGCCGUGCCGCCAAAAAAGGGGGAUAUUUUGGUCGCUUUCUCUUUUGUUUUUGGUAAAAGUGGGGCAUGCACUCACGUCUAGGGCUCUGCCCCGCCUGGGAACGGCACGCUCUCAGCAGAAGAGGAAACCCCAAGAGCGGGAAGCUGCGCUGAGCACCGGGGCUGUCGCCACGGCCGAGAGGGGCACCGAGGGGUGCGGGGGGAUCGGGCAGCCGGGAAGGGCAGCGGAGCCCCGGUCCGGGGUGGCACAGCCCCGGUGGGCGAUGCUGGGCUGGCUGCUGGCGGCGCUGGCGGCGCUGGUGCAGGGCGGCACCCUGGCAGCCCACGUCUCCUGCUGGAUGAAAUGCAGCACCCCCAAGCCUUUCCACUGCUCCUGGCCGCCCCUCGGCCCGGCCGGCAACACCUCCUACAUCCUGAACCUCUGGUGAGUUGGGCAGCGCGGCGGGGAGGGGGAGCCCAUGGGAUGAGUCCCGGGUGCCACCCUGUGCCUGCUCCCUCCCCAGUUUUGAGAAGCGUGGCCUGUGCAGAUGGUUUGAGGCGGGCACGGCGACCAACUACAGCCCCUCACGUAGCCAAGUGUACAUCUUUGAUAACACCACGGCCUGGGUGGAGGCACACUGGGGGGACCAGGUCCACAGGACCCCCAACCACACCCUGCCCCUCAACGAGGCUGGUGAGUGCCCCAGGGCUGGGCUGGCAGCCAGCACUGGCACUGAAAACUGCCAGACCACCCCAAACCACCUCAUCUUUCCAGUCAAACUGGAUGCACCNNNNNNNNNNNNNNNNNNNNCACUGGGAUGUCCUUCUCCGAGACCGGAGGCCAGCUGAGGGUGAGGGUGCCACAGCCACAGUGCAACAGCCUGAAGCAGCCACUGAAGCAGCCCCCACAGCACGAGGCUCGCUUCUGGAGGGCGGGAGACAGCAGCUGGACACAGGUGACAUGUGAGACAGUGAUGGUGACUGCUAAAGAAAACUCAGUGACCUGUGCCCUGGGGGUCAAUGGCACCUUCGUGGUCCAGCUCCGGCACAAGCCUCCCCACUGGAGCAGCUACUGGAGUGACUGGAGCAGCAACAUCUCUGAGGGAAUCCUGAGGAGGCCGGUGCUGAGCCAUCAGCUGGGCAAACUGGGGAGAGACGGGCAGCGGGUGCUGAGGCUGAGCUGGCAGCCAGUCCUCAUGGAGCGAAAGGAUGUCACCUACAGGCUGAACAUCAGCAUGCUGGCGUGUGGCUGUGCAGGGUCAGAUGAGGAGGACACGGUGGAGCUGGGCGGGGAGGUGACAGAGCACAACCUCACCCUCUCCGGGGCGGAGUACGAAAUCCUGCUGACCGCCGCCAAUGCCGCGGGGCAGGGGCCGGCGCAGCAGCUCCGUGUGCCGGCAGAGCAGCUCGCAGAUCUCAGCUUCAAGGAGAUCAGCGUGGCCGGCAGCACCGUGACUGCGCAGUGGGAAGCGCCGGUGCCCGGAGAUGCUUUCUGCUUCGAGCAGCAGACCCUGUCAGAGCCUCCGAAACAGGGAGUCUGCAUCCAGCAGGAAUUCCCUGCCAACAGCAUCCACGAGCAGAGAGGCAAGGGAGCCCCCCAAGACCCCGCUGUCCCCCCAGCCGGGGUCAGAGGGUCUAACCAGCAGCCCCGGUUCCCCCAGGAGCGCUGGGAGCGCGGGGCUGUCACCUCCUCGCCGUGCACGGCCGGGACACGGAGCGGGGCUGGGCCACCUUCGCCCUGUGGCACCGCUACAGCAGCAACGAUUCGCUGGACGUGCCCUUCAACAUCAGCACCGGGGAUACCGAGGCUGUAG
ensembl:lncRNA